rnacentral:rRNA from 1 species
UGGGAUAAAGCCUGGGAAACUGGGUCUAAUACCGGAUAAUGACUCCUCAUCGCAUGGUGGGGGGUGGAAAGCUUUAUUGUGGUUUUGGAUGGACUCGCGGCCUAUCAGCUUGUUGGUGAGGUAAUGGCUCACCAAGGCGACGACGGGUAGCCGGCCUGAGAGGGUGACCGGCCACACUGGGACUGAGACACGGCCCAGACUCCUACGGGAGGCAGCAGUGGGGAAUAUUGCACAAUGGGCGAAAGCCUGAUGCAGCGACGCCGCGUGAGGGAUGACGGCCUUCGGGUUGUAAACCUCUUUCAGUAGGGAAGAAGCGAAAGUGACGGUACC